GGCAUGUACACAGGAGCGUUUACGGAGCAGGAGUUCCGCUCUCUGGGCGUCAUGGCUUCGUUUGUGGCGGACGAGGUUUUCGACCAGCUGGACCGCAGCUUCUUCACUGCCAGUCUGGGUUUCCUCAGAGGAUUCUGCUACAGCAGCAGCAAGAUGGACAUCCUGGCUCGCAUCCUGCAAGAACCUGCCACCUUCGGGUACAAACACUGUGAUUAAGUAGAUGUUAGAAUAUAUGGUUGCACUUAUUGUGCAGUUAAUUGUGUAAAUAGGAUAUUUUUCCAUUGUGAGAAUUAGGUCAGGUUUAAUUCUUUUUCUCUCAUAAUAUUAUGUGAACUCAAUAAAUCAGGCUGGUUGUGAAUAAAAAGGCUUAAAACUGCGUUAUAAGAUUUUCUCAGCAAUUGUAAUGAUAAUACAACUUAUUGUGCCUUAUUGUGUUUUCUCAGACCAGUCAAUAACUGGAAUCAGACCACACUCAAUCAAGUAGACUGGUUUCUCCUCUUCCUACCUAAUGAUGAGCUGCAGGACAUCUCCCUGGUGAGCCAGCUGCUGUUUUCCAUUCAUUCACAUUACACCCUAAAUGCUGCUGAGGUUGCAGUUUGCAGCCCAGAUUGAACACAAAACCGUGAACCUCACCUGUCUGAUGUCUAGAAAUCCAAAGCGGGAUUGUUACUUGAUCCUGUGGCAGGAGAGGCCAAAGGACAGGUGUUGCGUCUCCACUUGGUUUCAGGAUCGGUAAAGUUCCUGUUUUCCCGUAAACCACCAGUGUGACCACACGUGUUGUUGCUCGUGCUCCCGCAGGCGCUAAUGACUGUGGGCCGCAUCGAGAGGCUGUUCCUAAGCCACCGCCAGUGGGAGCGUGGGGCCGUGGGGAGCCACUGUUGGAGCGACAACGAGAAGGCGGCAUUUUUCCAAAAGCAGCAGUUUGUUCUUCAGUUUUUCCUGGGCUUCCUCAUAUUAAACUUUCAGACACCCACUAUAAUGGUUCCCACGUGUGAGAUGCUGCAGACAACGCUUCCUGCUGCUUGGCCCCCCAACACUCUGACCAGCAUGCCUACGCCGGCCUUCCUCAACUGUCUGGAGCUGAUGGGUCAAGACUCGUUCCUUGCAUCCUACCAGCGCAGCCAGCUGCUCAAGAAGGUCAAACAGGUAGCUUUCAUUUGCAGUCGACCUGAGUGUCCUCCAGGCGGGGCCGGCUUUUAUGACCUGUCUGCUCCUUCCUUUCUGGGUCUGUCUGGAACCAUGUGUGAAGAUUUAUGGCCCGGCGUCCUCCUUGUCCCAGUCUGUGAUCGCUCAGCUGGGUGUGCUGGCGUUAGAAAUGACCGAAGCCGAGCUGAGCAGCCUCCGUCUGACUGAGCGGAGAAGCAUCGCUGCGAUGGGAGCCAUUUCUGCCUGGAGCAGCAGACAGCUGGCUGCACUGUUUACUACGAUACUAAUCUCCACAAAGCAGAGUCCGAGCCAGCUGGACUCCAGCACUCUGGUGUCUCUGGGGUACAUUGUGUGCGGCGCUAAAUCCACAGAUAUGAGCCUUUUUAACGCCAUAGAGUUCAGGUGAGCAAACGACGGCGUUUUGAGCCCCGCUGGUUGCACACGCUCACACUGACUCCCCUCUCGCUGUGUCUCCUCCUGGUGGCUGCAGCAAAGCAGUGCUCCAGCUGGGUCGGCUAACGCUGUCGUGCUCAGAGGACCAGCUGGCGGCUCUCGUCGGGCUGCUAACAAACAGCCUGGCUUUUGGACCCAUAAGCUCAUGGGGAACCGAUGUCUUCAUUGAGAUCGGAGUGAUGGCAGGUAACAGCUGACUUCCAUGAGAUUUGUUUCAUUUGUGCUCCUUGUGAAUAUGAGCAUCCUAUGUCUGUCUUUUUUAUGGCUGGAUCCCAGUGUUCACCAUAUAAACCUUUUACAGCUGGCCUCCCAGACUUGGCCAUGUCCGCUCUGGUGAAGGAGCAGAUAGAGGGGAUCACACCCAGCGCCAUCUCAAUGAUACAACCUAGUAAAUUUGGUGUAAGUUCAUGUUUACUUACAGUAUUCACAGUAUAGUAGUAGUAUAGUAUAGUAUUCAUAGUAACACUUGUGCUUUAAUUUUAAUACUUUAAGUCAAACCUAGAAUAAUUUAUUCUCAUGUAAUGUUCAUUCUGUUCUUCUCAGAAGUAAUUAUUGAUAAAUUACCCAUAUAAGCAAUACACACCUAUGGAAGAAGUUUUAAUCACAAGUUCAGAUCCUUACUGUACAAAGCUGACACCAGAAACAAAUGAACCUGUAAUUUUCCAGUUUCCUCACUUUGUCUCGUCUCCCCUCCUCUCUGGGUCCCUAUGCUCUUUUACUCAAGGUGGUGUUUAGCCAAACACAGAUCAGCAUGUUCUCCUAUGAGCAAGCGGCUGCAGUAACUAACGAGCAGCUUGCUGUUCUGUCAGACCUUCAGAGGACAGCUCUGGCUAUGGUGCUGACGCCGUGGGAGGACAAGCCCGUAGACUUCAGAGGUGAGCCACGUAAAUCUUUGUUAAAAUGUCAUCAUGUUAAAUGAUAAAAAAGAUUGAGUACUUUAAAAAUGUGAGUUUAUAUAUGUAAAUAACACACACACACACUUUGUGAUAUUCUAUUGUUGCAUUCUUCUAGUGGUCCACUGAUCAAAUACUCCAAUAUUUGUCUAACUGUGUUUUGGGCAUGACAUACAAAGACGUAUAAAGCUCAGGCAUUAUGGUUUUCAUGGCUAUACACUGCUGGUUUCCCUGCUUUGCAGCUGGGAUGUCCCUGGGCCUGGCUCUCAGCCACAGUCCAGUGUGUCUCACGCUGGGAUUGCUGAUGCUGCUGAUCAUUGUGACGUGGCCCGACCCGAUCUAACCUAGAACAUGACCCCACUCACCCCUGCUGGAUCAGGAGACACCUCCUCACCCACACGACCAAAAAAACGUGUCUGACAAUUAAGCCUCAUUCAAGACUUUUACAAACUAUAUAUUCAAUAUAGUGUGUAAAAGUCUUGAAUGAGACUUAUUUUUGUAAUUUUGUGUCUGUCACUUUGCUGUAUAAACAUUUAACGUGGAGACAGUUUCAGUUAAAAAGACUAUAUUACUUUAUAAACAGAUAAUAUAUAUCCAACAAAUAAUCAAAACCCAGAGUGUUUUUGUUACUGGCUCUCUAUUCAUUUUUUGGUAAUACUGGGUAACCCUCUCCUGUUUAAUUGCAUCCUUUUUAGGGAUAACUCCACAUCCACAGAAGUUGGGAUUUAACUCUACAAAGUUAUUUAUUUUUGUGAGAUUAUAUAUUUUUGUCAGAGGAAUGACUGUUAUAUUUGUGUCUAUUAUUGCUGUGAGUUUCAUAUUGUUGUGCACACUUGAUGAUGAUUGUGGAUGUAAAGUAUUAAAGUAAACCAUGCUGGCUCUGACUGGGUUUGUUUGUUUGCUUAAGACGGGAAAACUAGUAUUCAGGCACCAGAUAGGUUCGUGCCCUCUGCUGUUACUAUACCAGCUUCUAUAUAUAUCACCAAACAAGAAAUGAACAGAAUAAAAACUGAACGUUUAGGUAUGUAGCUCUAUGC
ensembl:lncRNA